GAUAUACAUUAUCUAUGAAAUAGAAUAAUAAAAGUUUGAAACUUUUGUAUAUCA
rnacentral:tRNA from 1 species